GAGGCAGGCGCUUCAUUGCAGCUUAGGGAUGAAUACAUAAACCUGGGCGGCUAUUUUUACACUGGCUGAAACAGAGAGCGUGUGUGUGGCAGGGGAGAGGACGCAAGCAGCCCUCCCCCAUUCAUCCCCUGAUCUUCCCCUUCCAUCUGGAGAGUUACUCCUCAGAACCGAAGCAUUUUUAUUUUUAUUUUUUGAAAUCAGGGAAGGGAAAAGGAAUGCAGAUCAAAACGUUUCCUAAAUGGUAAAAAUAAAUGAGAUAGCAGCAUUCUGAA
rnacentral:lncRNA from 10 species